rnacentral:ncRNA from 1 species
AAAGUGCCGGUGAUCGGGACGAGUAAACGGUACGGCUGCCCAGAGAGCCCGGGUUAAGGUGAGAGCCGGGCGCAGUGCAAACCGCUUGAAAAUCACCCGUGAGGCGACGGCUGAAAUCCUACAGGGAGAUUAAGCCCGUCCGGCAGCCACCGUUAACGGCUAUGCAAGUGGGACCGGUCUCUUAAACCAAAGCAAUGGUUAGGCUAAGCAUUAGCACCGGUCCAAUCAGGGUGGUACCACGGAAAACAUCCGUCCCUUGG